GAUGAACGCUGGCGGCGUGCCUAAUACAUGCCAGUCGAGCGAACGGACGAGAAGCUUGCUUCUCUGAUGUUAGCGGCGGACGGGUGAGUAACACGUGGAUAACCUACCUAUAAGACUGGGAUAACUUCGGGAAACCGGAGCUAAUACCGGAUAAUAUUUUGAACCGCAUGGUUCAAAAGUGAAAGACGGUCUUGCUGUCACUUAUAGAUGGAUCCGCGCUGCAUUAGCUAGUUGGUAAGGUAACGGCUUACCAAGGCAACGAUGCAUAGCCGACCUGAGAGGGUGAUCGGCCACACUGGAACUGAGACACGAUCCAGACUCCUACGGGAGGCAGCAGUAGGGAAUCUUCCGCAAUGGGCGAAAGCCUGACGGAGCAACGCCGCGUGAGUGAUGAAGGUCUUCGGAUCGUAAAACUCUGUUAUUAGGGAAGAACAUAUGUGUAAGUAACUGUGCACAUCUUGACGGUACCUAAUCAGAAAGCCACGGCUAACUACGUG
rnacentral:rRNA from 1 species